rnacentral:scRNA from 1 species
UUAGAUGAUGUGUGAACCCCGGACUGAUAAAUGAUGUGCGCGUGUGAGGACUGAUC